rnacentral:rRNA from 1 species
AUCGAACGCUGGCGGCAGGCCUAACACAUGCAAGUCGAGCGGAUGAAGGGAGCUUGCUCCUGGUUUCAGCGGCGGACGGGAAAGGAAUGCCAAGGAGUCUGCCACCUAGUGGGCGAUAACGUCCGGCAACGGGCGCUAAUACCGCAUACGUCCUGAGGGAGAAACUGGGCGUUCUUCGGGCCUCACGCUAUCAGCUGAGCCUAGUUCGGAUUAUCUAGUUGGUGGGUUAAAGGCCUACCAAGGCGACGAUCGUUAACUGGUCUGAAGGAAUGAACAGUAACACUGGAACUGAGCAACGGUCCAGACUCCUACGGGAGCCAGCAGUGGGGAUUAUUGGACAAUGGGCGAAAUCCUGAUGCAGACAUGCGGCGUGUUUGAAGAAGGUCUUCGGAUUUUAAAGCACGUUAAGUUGGGAGAAAGGGCAGUAUGUUAAUACCGUGAUGUUUUGACGUUACCAACAGAGUAAGCACCGGCUAACUUCGUG